GAUGAACGCUAGCGGCAGGCUUAACACAUGCAAGUCGAGGGGUAUAGAAAGCUUGCUUUCUAGAGACCGGCAAACGGGUGCGGAACACGUACACAACCUACCUUUAUCAGGGGGAUAGCCUUCGGAAACGGAGAUUAAUACCCCAUAGUAUUAUGGAGUGGCAUCAUUUUAUAAUUAAAGAAUUUCGGAUAGAGAUGGGUGUGCGUAAGAUUAGCUAGUUGGUGGGGUAAAGGCUCACCAAGGCAACGAUCUUUAGCUGAUGUGAGAGCAUGAUCAGCCACACGGGCACUGAGACACGGGCCCGACUCCUACGGGAGGCAGCAGUGAGGAAUAUUGGUCAAUGGACGGAAGUCUGAACCAGCCAUGCCGCGUGAAGGAUGAAGGCGUUCUGCGUUGUAAACUUCUUUUAUUUAGGAAGAAACCACUUUUUUUUAAGAGUGUUGACGGUAUUAAAUGAAUAAGCACCGGCUAACUCCGUGCCAGCCGCCGCCGUAACAC
rnacentral:rRNA from 1 species